rnacentral:rRNA from 1 species
GACGAACGCUGGCGGCGUGCCUAAUACAUGCAAGUAGAACGCUGAAGAGAGGAGCUUGCUCUUCUUGGAUGAGUUGCGAACGGGUGAGUAACGCGUAGGUAACCUGCCUUGUAGCGGGGGAUAACUAUUGGAAACGAUAGCUAAUACCGCAUAACAAUGGAUGACACAUGUCAUUUAUUUGAAAGGGGCAAUUGCUCCACUACAAGAUGGACCUGCGUUGUAUUAGCUAGUAGGUGAGGUAACGGCUCACCUAGGCGACGAUACAUAGCCGACCUGAGAGGGUGAUCGGCCACACUGGGACUGAGACACGGCCCAGACUCCUACGGGAGGCAGCAGUAGGGAAUCUUCGGCAAUGGGGGCAACCCUGACCGAGCAACGCCGCGUGAGUGAAGAAGGUUUUCGGAUCGUAAAGCUCUGUUGUAAGUCAAGAACGAGUGUGAGAGUGGAAAGUUCACACUGUGACGGUAGCUUACCAGAAAGGGACGGCUAACUACGUGCCAGCAGCCGCGGUAAUACGUAGGUCCCGAGCGUUGUCCGGAUUUAUUGGGCGUAAAGCGAGCGCAGGCGGUUUGAUAAGUCUGAAGUUAAAGGCUGUGGCUCAACCAUAGUUCGCUUUGGAAACUGUCAAACUUGAGUGCAGAAGGGGAGAGUGGAAUUCCAUGUGUAGCGGUGAAAUGCGUAGAUAUAUGGAGGAACACCGGUGGCGAAAGCGGCUCUCUGGUCUGUAACUGACGCUGAGGCUCGAAAGCGUGGGGAGCGAACAGGAUUAGAUACCCUGGUAGUCCACGCCGUAAACGAUGAGUGCUAGGUGUUGGAUCCUUUCCGGGAUUCAGUGCAGCAGCUAACGCAUUAAGCACUCCGCCUGGGGAGUACGACCGCAAGGUUGAAACUCAAAGGAAUUGACGGGGGCCCGCACAAGCGGUGGAGCAUGUGGUUUAAUUCGAAGCAACGCGAAGAACCUUACCAGGUCUUGACAUCCCGAUGCUAUUUCUAGAGAUAGAAAGUUACUUCGGUACAUCGGUGACAGGUGGUGCAUGGUUGUCGUCAGCUCGUGUCGUGAGAUGUUGGGUUAAGUCCCGCAACGAGCGCAACCCCUAUUGUUAGUUGCCAUCAUUCAGUUGGGCACUCUAGCGAGACUGCCGGUAAUAAACCGGAGGAAGGUGGGGAUGACGUCAAAUCAUCAUGCCCCUUAUGACCUGGGCUACACACGUGCUACAAUGGUUGGUACAACGAGUUGCGAGUCGGUGACGGCAAGCUAAUCUCUUAAAGCCAAUCUCAGUUCGGAUUGUAGGCUGCAACUCGCCUACAUGAAGUCGGAAUCGCUAGUAAUCGCGGAUCAGCACGCCGCGGUGAAUACGUUCCCGGGCCC